AACCACAAAUACCAGUUCUAUCAGACAGUUGGGCCAUUUUCAACUCAAGGCAUCUGAGUUCCUCCUCAUCAAGGCCCUCCGAACCCUGAAGAGAUCAUCAUAUAUAUGUGCUGCCGAAGCGAGCACUCCUGAAGAGAUUAACUAAGAGUCUAGCACCUUUUAAGGUCUGAAUAGGAAACAUCUGUCAUCUAUUCUCUCUAAGGGCAGCCACUAUAAGAGUUCAAAAGAAACUUGCUCGCCACAAUCUUUUUUUUUUUUUUUUGAGAUGGAGUCUCACUCUGUUGCCCAGGCUGGAGUAGAGUGGCACCAUCUUGUCUCACUGCAACCUCCACCUCCCAGGUUCAAGUGAUCCUCCUGCCUCAGGCCCCCUAGUAGCUAGGAUUACAGGCACGCAUCACCAUGCCUGGCUAAUUUUUUUUUUUUUUUUGAGAUGGAGUUUCAUGCUGUUGCCCAGGCUGGAGUGCAAUGGCGCCAUCUUGACUCACUGCAACCUCCAUCUCCUGGGUUCAAGCCAUUCUCCUGCCUCAACUUCCCGAGUAGCUGGGAUUACAGGCGCCUGCCACCACGCCCAGCUAAUUUUUGUAUUUUUAGUAGAGAAGCGGUUUCACCAUGCUGGCCAGGCUGGUCUCGAACUCCCGACCUCAGGCUAUCCGCCUGCCUCAGCCUCCCAAAGUGCUGGGAUUAUAGAUGUGAGCCAGUGCGACUGGCCUAAGUGCUGGGAUUACGGGAGUGAGCCGCUGCGCCUGGCCUAAGUGCUGGGGUACAGGCGUGAGCCACCAGGCCAGCGAAGUCUCCACAAUCUUUUUUUUCUUUUUUUUUUGAGGCAGAGUCUCCCUCUGUCACCAGGCUGGAUUGCAGUGGCGAUCUCGGCUCACUGCAACCUCUGCCUCCCAGGUUCAAGCAAUUCUCCUGCCUCAGCCUCCUGAGUAGCUGGGACUACAGGAACGCACCACCAACCCCAGCUAAUUUUUGCAUUUUUGGUAGAGACAGGGUUUCUCCAUGUUGGCCAGGAUGGUCUCCAUCUCUUGACCUCGUGAUCUGCCCACCUCUGCCUCCCAAAGUGCUGGGAUUAUAGGUGUGAACGACCGUGCCCGGCCCCCACAAUCUUUUAUCUUAACCUGAGCAUUUCCUUUCUAUGGAUCCCAGGUCUUUAGACAAACUCAUCCAAUUGUCAACCAGAAAAUGUUUAAAUUUACCUAUAGCCUGGAAGGCCCCCCGACCGACGCCCUCCCGCCCCCGCCCCCGCCGCCCCUCCACUGCCUUAUCUGCUUUGAGUUGUCCCGCCUUUCUGGACCAAACCAAUGUACUUCUUAAAUGUAUUUGAUUAAUGUCUCAUGCCCUCCCUAAAAUGUAUAAAACCAAGCUGCACCCAACCACCUUGGGCACAUGUUCUCAGGAUCUCCUGAGGGCUGUGUCACAGACCAUGGUCACUCAUAUUUGGCUCAGAAUAAAUUUCUUUAAAUAUUUUACAGAGUUUGACUCUUUUUGUCAACACUGUGCACUUCAAAAAUGUUCAUGUCAUAGAAAACAAAGUUUGAGGAACUGUUCUAGAUUAAAGGAGC
rnacentral:lncRNA from 1 species